rnacentral:rRNA from 1 species
AAUAGAUACCCAGGUAGUCCACCCCGUAAACGUUGGGAACUAGUUGUGGGUCCAUUCCACGGAUUCCGUGACGCAGCUAACGCAUUAAGUUCCCCGCCUGGGGAGUACGGCCGCAAGGCUAAAACUCAAAGGAAUUGACGGGGACCCGCACAAGCGGCGGAGCAUGCGGAUUAAUUCGAUGCAACGCGAAGAACCUUACCAAGGCUUGACAUAUAGAGGAAACGGCUGGAAACAGUCGCCCCGCAAGGUCUCUAUACAGGUGGUGCAUGGUUGUCGUCAGCUCGUGUCGUGAGAUGUUGGGUUAAGUCCCGCAACGAGCGCAACCCUCGUUCUAUGUUGCCAGCACGUAAUGGUGGGAACUCAUGGGAUACUGCCGGGGUCAACUCGGAGGAAGGUGGGGAUGACGUCAAAUCAUCAUGCCCCUUAUGUCUUGGGCUUCACGCAUGCUACAAUGGCCGGUACAAAGGGCUGCAAUACCGUAAGGUGGAGCGAAUCCCAAAAAGCCGGUCCCAGUUCGGAUUGAGGUCUGCAACUCGACCUCA